CCUAACUCCCAAACCCCUGUGACAUACCUAUACGUUGCCUCGGCGGAUCAGCCCGCGCCCCGUAAAAAGGGACGGCCCGCCCGAGGACCCCUAAACUCUGUUUUUAGUGGAACUUCUGAGUAAAACAAACAAAUAAAUCAAAACUUUCAACAACGGAUCUCUUGGUUCUGGCAUCGAUGAAGAACGCAGCAAAAUGCGAUAAGUAAUGUGAAUUGCAGAAUUCAGUGAAUCAUCGAAUCUUUGAACGCACAUUGCGCCCGCCAGUAUUCUGGCGGGCAUGCCUGUUCGAGCGUCAUUUCAACCCUCAAGCUCAGCUUGGUGUUGGGACUCGCGGUAACCCGCGUUCCCCAAAUCGAUUGGCGGUCACGUCGAGCUUCCAUAGCGUAGUAAUCAUACACCUCGUUACUGGUAAUCGUCGCGGCCACGCCGUAAAACCCCAACUUCUGAAUGUUGACCUCGGAUCAGGUAGGAAUACCCGCUGAACUUAAGCAUAUCAAUAAGCGGAGGAA
rnacentral:rRNA from 1 species